rnacentral:lncRNA from 1 species
CAUUAGGAGCUUAUCCGGAAUUAAAAUACUUGGAAUAUUACGCUUGGAUAAACUAGUGAGGAUCUAUGCAUUUAGCCAUCAUUUAUAGAGGUGACUGCAAAUCUGUUGAUUGGUAGACAUUAUGAUACAGAUGAUAUGAUUGAUUCCUGAUGUUAUGCUGUGUUAACAUGAUUACAUGAUAGUUCGAUGAUUAACAAUAUUUUGUUACUGUAAAUUCUGUAAUACUAUGUUUUGGUGAAGUACUGAUGUUUCUGCAUUUAUGCUGCAGUCAUACAUCCGACAACAAAGUUGUUAAUUAUAAUUGCUAGAUGUUAAGGUUCCAAACUGAAGUAACGCUAUUUUAGUAAACUAAAAAUUAGUCUCC